rnacentral:rRNA from 1 species
UAUUGGUCAAUGGACGCAAGUCUGAACCAGCCAUGCCGCGUGAAGGAUGAAUGCCCUCAGGGUUGUAAACUUCUUUUAUCUGGGAAGAAAUCCUCGAUUUCCAUCGGGGUUGACGGUACCAGAUGAAUAAGCACCGGCUAACUCCGUGCCAGCAGCCGCGGUAAUACGGAGGGUGCAAGCGUUAUCCGGAUUCACUGGGUUUAAAGGGUGCGUAGGUGGGUAUGUAAGUCAGUGGUGAAAUCCCCGAGCUUAACUUGGGAACUGCCGUUGAUACUAUAUAUCUUGAAUGUCGUAGAGGUAAGCGGAAUAUGUCAUGUAGCGGUGAAAUGCUUAGAGAUGACAUAGAACACCAAUUGCGAAGGCAGCUUGCUAUGCGAUUAUUGACACUGAGGCACGAAAGCGUGGGUAGCAAACA